UCAGGUGAGCAGGGGAAGGGCAAAUCCCUGCAGCCUGGGAGGCCACAGGUGAACGUUGUUGUUGUCCUGUGGGGCAAUAGGCACAAACUGGAGCACAGGUGGUUUCAGUUGAACUGAAGAAGCUUCUUUGCUGUGAAGCUGCUGCAGGAGCAGGCUGCCCAGAGAGGCUGUGGAGUCUUCUCUCAGACUUCAUGGAGGCUUUCCUGUGCAACUGGAUUUAACCCCCACUGUUCUGUGAUUCCUCUGGACACAAGACUGAAGCCCUGUGCCCUUUCAUCAGCUCUGAGCAGGCAAGACCCUAAAAGUCAUCUUCUCAGGGUGGGUUUUAGCCAGAUACCUCCGUGGCAAGGCACACUCAGCUUGGAGAACUGAACACAAAGCAAGCAAGCUGCAGGAAAACAAGUGCAUACCAAGCCUUGUCACUGAUAUUUAUUUAAUAGCCUGUCACAAGCAGAAAAUGUGGAUCAAAGGUAGGAAAGGCAAGGAAGGAGCAGUUUCAGUCCAAGGCAGCCGUUCUGCAUUGCAUCAGGGUUCACUUCUGGAUCAGGGGAUGUUCUGCCACAUCGUGUUACAUCAACAGAGCUGUGAAAUGAUGGAGCCUAAUGCAGACCUCAGAGAGCUUUUAAUGGGCUGCACCUUCCCCUCAUUCAGCUACAAACAUCGAUCCUGCCCCCUCAGCAUGAGCACGCAAGCCUUCAUGAAAAGGACGAGCAGCUGAGCAGCAUCUCUGCGUUGGUAUGCGGAGCGGUGGAGGCACACAAGCACCUGCAGCCAUCCACGCACAGCUUGGGAAGAGCGCUGUAUUUCUCGAGCUUCCUGACAGUUGUGUGCUUUGGCAUCUCCUUGGAACUGCCACGCUUUGUGCCCACUGUCUUUGGACCCGUUUUUACGUUGAUCCCCAGGCCAGCUUGUGCUGCAGGAGGAAGGUGUGAGUAACCCGACCGAGACA